rnacentral:misc_RNA from 1 species
GUGGGAGCGAGCCUGCUCGCGAUGACGGUGGGUCAGUCACUUUAUUGUCAUCUGAUACGCCGCCAUCGCGAGCAGGCUCGCUCCACA